rnacentral:rRNA from 1 species
CACGUAGGCACCAAGCGUUGUCCGGAUUUAUUGGGCGUAAAGAGCUCGUAGGCGGUUCGGUAAGUCGGGUGUGAAAACUUUGGGCUUAACCCAAAGCCUGCAUCCGAUACUGCUGUGACUAGAGUUCGGUAGGGGAGCGGGGAAUUCCUAGUGUAGCGGUGAAAUGCGUAGAUAUCAGGAGGAACACCGGUGGCGAAGGCGCACAUCUGGCCCGAUACUGACGCUGAGGCGCGAAAGCUAGGGGAGCAAACGGG